rnacentral:rRNA from 1 species
UGGGGAAUAUUGCACAAUGGGCGAAAGCCUGAUGCAGCAACGCCGCGUGAGUGAUGAAGGCCUUCGGGUUGUAAAGCUCUGUCUUUUGGGACGAUAAUGACGGUACCAAAGGAGGAAGCCACGGCUAACUACGUGCCAGCAGCCGCGGUAAUACGUAGGUGGCAAGCGUUGUCCGGAUUUACUGGGCGUAAAGGAUGCGUAGGCGGAUUUUUAAGUGAGAUGUGAAAACCCUAAGCUUAACUUGGGGACUGCAUUUCAUACUGGAAAUCUAGAGUGCGGGAGAGGAGAAUGGAAUUCCUAGUGUAGCGGUGAAAUGCGUAGAGAUUAGGAAGAACACCAGUGGCGAAGGCGAUUCUCUGGACCGUAACUGACGCUGAGGCAUGAAAAGCGUGGGUAGCAAAACAGGAUUAGAUACCCUGGUAGUCCACGCCGUAAAACGAUGAGUACUAGGUGUAGGAGGUAUCGACCCCUUCUGUGCCGCAGUUAACACAAUAAGUACUCCGCCUGGGAAGUACGAUCGCAAGAUUAAAAACUUAAAAGGAAUUGACGGGGGUCAUAGCUGUUUCCU